rnacentral:rRNA from 1 species
CCUACGGGAGGCAGCAGUAGGGAAUCUUCCACAAUGGGCGAAAGCCUGAUGGAGCAACGCCGCGUGGGUGAAGAAGGUCUUCGGAUCGUAAAACCCUGUUGUUAGAGAAGAAAGUGCGUGAGAGUAACUGUUCACGUUUCGACGGUAUCUAACCAGAAAGCCACGGCUAACUACGUCCCAGCAGCCGCGGUAAUACGUAGGUGGCAAGCGUUAUCCGGAUUUAUUGGGCGUAAAGGGAACGCAGGCGGUCUUUUAAGUCUGAUGUGAAAGCCUUCGGCUUAACCGGAGUAGUGCAUUGGAAACUGGGAGACUUGAGGGCAGAAGAGGAGAGUGGAACUCCAUGUGUAGCGGUGAAAUGCGGAGAUAUAUGGAAGAACACCAGUGGCGAAAGCGGCUCUCUGGUCUGUAACUGACGCUGAGGUUCGAAAGCGUGGGUAGCAAACAGGAUUAGAUACCCGUGUAGUC